rnacentral:tRNA from 1 species
UUCGUGCAUGGCCGGCCGGUGGAGCCGAUCGCCAUCGCCGAUCGCGGCGAACUGCUGCUGCGCAACGGCGAUUUCCACUACCGGCCGUGGAAC